UUGGCUAGAUUUUAUUUGAUUCUAAAUAAGUGCUGAGAAAAAUACAUACUUCAUGAAUGGGAAUACGUAGGUAGACCUAUAAUAAGACAUUGUCUUCGAUGGUUUUCUUUUUUGUUUGUAAAAGACUUACAAGUUAAAUUUCUAGAAUAACUUGUUUAAAAAUAAAAACAUUCUGUGACUUCAUUUUAAGGACUCGUUUCAAAAAUUGUGGAUUUAAAAACGCGGAAUAGGAUACAAACAGAGUUCAACGACAAUGCACGAAGGAUGAUCGGAGAUUUCCGACUGUUCCUUUUGUUUUGACUCCACUAGUGUACCCGCCUGGACGUCAGUUCAGCCUACUCCGUUACCAGAGCCGCUGUUGUGACAUCGGUGUAGCUGGGGAUUAUCAUAACACACGGACAACUCGAAAACAUUCCUGCGCCAGAGAGCCAGGUUUUGAAUCAAUGUGAUCUUAAAAAAAAAA
rnacentral:sRNA from 1 species